UAAAUUAUCUAAUCCAAACCAAGACAUGUAGAUAGAAACCUAUUCUCUUUUUGUCUCUUGUUGUCUGAUUCUCUCUUCAUCUUCGGCGGCAAAACUCAGCCAAUCAUCGAUAUAAUAUUUUUUGCGAGGGAUCAUUAAUUCUGAUGAGGAGGACAAAGCUUCAACAAGCGAACAACAAUAUCCACUACUUAGAGAGCUAAAGCAUAAACAUGAAUUGCAAUUUCCGCCAGGUUAGUUUUCAAUCCUUUCCAAAAAUCAACUACUAUCAAUAAUAAUUGAAGCACUUUUUAGUCGAAAUACUCAUCACUCGAAACACUUUCUAGUGUAAACUUUUUAAUUCUACUUUAAUAACACACUCAUAAACACUAUAUCAUUUAGUAGUAAAACACUCAGUAACUAAAAAAUAUUUUCUUAAAAAAAGAUAUGAUGCGGAACUUUUAAUUAAAACUCACAACUAAAAAAUUAAAAUAGUUGAAACAUACUUAGUAAACACCAAAUUAUUUUCAACAAAAAAUAGUCAAAGUCGUAGCACUGAACCAUUCAACCAAAAAAAAACACAUUUAACAAGAUACACACACGACUAAUAAAUGUGUAUUUUCUUACGUCUUUAAAAUUACAUUAACACUUAAUUAAUUCAACAAAAUCCCUUUAGCCAAAAUUUAGUCGAAGCACUUACUCAAAAAACUUAUAUCUAAAUCCGAACACACGUAAAACACUAGAUCAAUUUACUUAAAAGUCGAAACAUAUAUUUCCAAGCAUACUUCUAAACAAAGCAUACUUAGUGAAGUACAUUAGUUAUACUGUUGAACACAAUAUUAAAUCACGAACACGUACUCCUAAACUAGUCAGGCAAAUUACUCCUAACAUUUUAGUCAAAACAUAGUUAUUCGUAACACUUGAAAACACUUCCGCAAUUCCGCAUUUAAAGGCAAGUGCAAAAAUCACACUUUAUUUAAAAAAAGCUUAUAUAAAAACCGUUUUAGGCGAAGUAUGAAUAUUACUUGAACAAUUAUUGUUUUUACUUCACAUUUCGUCGAAGCGUCUGUUAGUCGAAGCCAAGCACAAGUUGAACCACUGUUAGUCGUAUCGCUGUUAGUCGUUAGUCAAAACACUUUUUUAUGUCAUACAUUUUGUACGUUGUUAUUAAAUGUUAACUUGAUCGGGAAAAGACCACUCUGUUGCAGGUCGCACACCUUUAACAGUGAUCUAAUAUAUCAAAGACAAAAAAAAGGUGGAUUGAGAUUAAUCAUAAAAGGAAACAAAUACUUUAACAACUUCUCAAAAAAAUUGGUGAUCAAACUCAGAAAACUAAAAAUUGGAACAUAGCAACUGAAGAAAAUGAAAAUGAGGAUCUGUUUCGCAUCCAUAUUUCGCAAACUCAUUAAAACGUUAAUUAAUUUUAAAAUAACCAAGUGUAGAUAACGCAGCUUAUCGGAUCCGUUGGUAUAACGUUGUAUGGUCCUCAGUUUGGAAGGAGUGGCGAUUUUCCGAAAAUGGAUUGAUAUAAGGCAAACAGAUUGGUUCAGAGUAAUUUCAAAAAAAUCAAUGAAACGGUAUAUGAAAUAAUGUACUUAAAAUAUUAUAUCAAAUAGGCUAUCUCUAUGCUCACAUCACAUGCGUCGAAUAAACAAUUAAAACAAAAAUCCAACGGGACGACCAAUAGCAUAAUUCCGGUGGCUCGUAAUUAAAAAUUGGUCCACAUUAUAUCAAAGUGCUCACGUACCCUUUCAAAAUUCCAAUUCCAACUAAUGUUGCUGUGGUGCUACAGAAAUAAAUAAAAAACUAUAGUUGAAAACUGACAAAACAAGUAUAAUUAAUAUUGACUCGCUUUAUACAAGAAACAUGUUACUUUGUACAAAACAAGUAUAAUUAAUAUU